UACAGAGGUCCCAAGCGUUGUUCGGAUUCACUGGGCGUAAAGGGUGCGUAGGCGGUCGGGUAAGUCUGAUGUGAAAUCUCACAGCUUAACUGUGAAACUGCAUUGGAUACUAGCCGGCUCGAGGAAUGGAGGGGAGACUGGAAUACUUGGUGUAGCAGUGAAAUGCGUAGAUAUCAAGUGGAACACCAGUGGCGAAGGCGAGUCUCUGGGCCGAUACUGACGCUGAGGAGCGAAAGCGUGGGGAGCGAACAGG
rnacentral:rRNA from 1 species